CAUUCCACGAAUCCCCACGAUCCCGCUGGAUUUCUCCCCCUCCCGCGGAUCCUUUCCCGAAGGAUUCAUCCCUUUGACUCCGGGAAGGCAGGAAGGGCUCCCCUCCCCUGCUCCCCGGCACUCGGAAUGUCAUCCCAAAUGUCACCGCGCUCGGAACGCCGCAGCCCAACGCUCCGGGGAGUUCGGAUCCAGCCAGAAUCCGAGGGGACGGAUGCGCUUCCAGAGCCGGAGCCUUGGGAUGGGGUCAUCCAUCAUCCUGAUUCCCUGAUCCCAGCAGGGCGUGGGGAGCAGGGCGGGAAUAAACAUGGGAAUCAAAAUAGGAAUAAAAAUAGGGAUAAAAAUGGGAAUAAAGAUGGGAAUAAACAUGGGAACAAAAAUAGAAAUAAAAAUAGGGAUAAAAAUGGGAAUAAAAAUGGGAAUAAACAUGGGAAUCAAAAUGGGAAUAAACAUGGGAAUAAACAUGGGAACAAAAAUAGAAAUAAAAAUAGGGAUAAAAAUGGGAAUAAACAUGGGAAUAAACAUGGGAAUCAAAAUAGGAAUAAAAAUAAGGAUGAAAAUGGGAAUAAAAUUGGGAAUAAACAUGGGAAUAAAAAUGGGAAUAAAAAUGGGAACAAAAAUAGGAAUCAAAAUAGGAAUAAACAUGGGAAUAAACAGGGGAAUAAACAUGGGAAUAAAAAUGGGAAUAAACAUGGGAAUAAAAAUGGGAAUAAAAAUAGGAAUCAAAAUAGGAAUAAACAUGAGAAUAAAAAUGGGAAUAAACAUGGGAAUAAACAUGGGAAUAAAAAUGGGAAUGAAAAUAGGAAUAAAAAUGGCAAUAAGAAUGGGAAUAAAAAUAGGAAUAAAAAUGGGAACUCUGCAUUAUCCAGAGCUGAAGGAAUCAUCCAGAGCGCACGAUGUUGGCUCCAUCCCGGUUUUCCAUGGCUGUUGGCACCGGGACGGAGCCAACGAGGAGUUGGAUCCCUGGAAUCCUGUGCCGUGAGCUCGGAGAGCGUCGUAUCCCAGGAUUCCUUCUCUGGAGAUGUGGGGCUGCUGCUCCCAUCCCUGCCCUUCCCCAAACACUUCCAAGGAAUUAUUCCCAAGAAGGGAAUCCCAAUGGAAACCCCUUAUCUGGGAAAGCAAAGGGUAGGAGUGCGUCAUUCCAUGGAUCUCAGAGAUCCUGGGAUUUGUGUGGGUUUUCUGCCAAUAAUUUCCCAUCCAUCAUCCAUCCAUCAUCCAUCAUCCAUCCAUCAUCCAUCNNNNNNNNNNNNNNNNNNNNNNNNNNNNNNNNNNNNNNNNNNNNNNNNNNNNNN
rnacentral:lncRNA from 1 species